rnacentral:tRNA from 1 species
GGAGGGGCUGUGGCUCAAUAGUAGAGCAUCAGGUUGGCAAGCAAAAGGACCCAAGUUCAAUUCCUGACUUCCUCCA